GCCCAAGAGAUCGGGAUAACACCUGGAAACAGAUGCUAAUACCGGAUAACAACAGAUGAUGCCUAUCAACUGUUUAAAAGAUGGUUCUGCUAUCACUCUUGGAUGGACCUGCGGUGCAUUAGCUAGUUGGUAGGGUAGCGGCCUACCAAGGCGAUGAUGCAUAGCCGAGUUGAGAGACUGAUCGGCCACAUUGGGACUGAGACACGGCCCAAACUCCUACGGGAGGCAGCAGAC
rnacentral:rRNA from 1 species